GGCAGAACAGUUGAAACUGGAGCAGCAGCAUGGCCAGGUGGACUGGGGACAGCAAGGAGUCAUCAUGUCAGGUAGUCCUGAGGCAUGGUCCUAGGGCUCAGGUCCUCCGAGAGAGAGAAAGAAAGAGAGAACGAGAGAAUUAGAGAGAGCACACUUAAAUUCACACAGGACACCGAAUAGGACAGAAGUACUCCAGAUAUAACAAACUGACCCCAGCCCCCCGACACAUAAACUACUGCAGCAUAAAUACUGGAGGCUGAGACAGGAGAGGUCAGGAGACACUGUGGCCCCAUCUGAGGACACCCCCGGACAGGGCCAAACAGGAAGGAUAUAACCCCACCCACUUUGCCAAAGCACAUCCCCCACACCACUAGAGGUGAUAUGAUACUGUAGGGUGGAGUGGUUGUUAUGAUACUGUUGUUGUUAUGAUACUGUUGGUAGAGUAGUUAUUAUGAUACUGUAGGAUAGAGUAGUUUUUAUAAUACUGUAGGGUAGAGUAGUUGUUAUGAUACUGUUGGUAGAGAAGUUGUUAUGAUACUGUAGGUAGAGAAGUUGUUAUGAUACUGUAGGUAGAGUAGUUGUUAUGAUACUGUAGGUAGAGUAGUUGUUAUGAUACUGUUGGUAGAGAAGUUGUUAUGAUACUGUAGGUAGAGCAGUUGUUAUGAUACUGUAGGUAGAGUAGUUGUUAUGAUACUGUAGGUAGAGCAGUUGUUAUGAUACUGUAGGUAGAGUAGUUGUUAUGAUACUGUAGGUAGAGUAUUUGUUAUGAUACUGUAGGUAGAGUAGUUGUUAUGAUACUGUUGGUAGAGAAGUUGUUUUGAUACUGUAGGUAGAGUAUUUGUUAUGAUAGUGUAGCGUAGAGUAGUAGUUAUGAUACUGUUGAGUAGAGUAAUUGUUAUGAUACUGUAGGGUAGAGUAAUUGGUGUGAUACUGUAGGGUAGAGUAAUUGGUGUGAUACUGUAGGGUGGAGUAAUUGUUGUGAUACUGUAGGGUAGAGUAAUUGUUAUGAUAUAGUAGUUGUUACUAUACUCUAGUUAGAGUAGUUGUUAUGAUA
ensembl:lncRNA